UGUUAAAAACUUCAUCCAUUUCUACUAUUAAAAAAUGGUGUGACUAACAGAAUAAACAGACAAUUCCACGUGGUGUGCUAAGUGCACUUUAUGCUAACGUAUAGGGACUAGUUUUUAACCGUAAAAAAUGGAUAGAAUUUUUAUAA
rfam:Gossypium arboreum cultivar AKA8401 contig_1428_3, whole genome shotgun sequence.